UUCCUUUUCCUAUCUAUCUCUCCCUCUUUCUCUCAUUUUUGUUAUCUUUUUCUCUCUCUCACGUGUCUGUUUUUCUUCCCCCUCUUUCUCUUCUUCAUUCACUCUCUUCUCCCUCUUUCUCUUCUUCCUCGAAACGAAAGGCUACAGUGGUGCGAACAGGGGAGAAGAUGACGAAAGGCUAAUUUGGCGACGAUGUCGGAUUCGUAACGAACAGGUGGUGGUCGGCCACUGUUUAUGAAAUUUGAAGAUCCAACUCUUUCAUGACUUAGGGUUUGCGGAUCCAACGCUUUCUGUUUCUUCUGUAUAGGAUGCAAUAAGUGGUGGUGGUGGUUGUGUGUCUUCUCAUGUCGACAUAUUUUUUUAGGUGAAAGGACAUUGUUGUUAUUUUCUUAUUCCAAUGAUUAUCGAGCAAUACAUGUGUCUCUGGUGAAGGUGUACUUAAAGAUCUGUGAUAUUUGAUUUGUGUGGGUGCGAUUUUUGGUUUCAAGUGUGUUUCGAUGGUGGAGAAGAAACAUAUAACUAGAGACAAUGGGUUACCAGUAUGGUGGUGGUGGUGGAAACGGGCUUGCGACGACGAGUGUGGUGGUGGUGGUUGAAAUUGGUUAGCAGCGAUGAGUUUGUAUGUGGUGUAUUGAUUGGCUUAGCAAUGGAUGGAAUGCAGGUUUUUCACAAUGCCAUUGAAGCUUUACGAAUCUCAUAUAUGAAGAUGAAUCCUUUUUGUGUACCUUUUGCAACCACAAAUGUGGGUUCUGCCAUGCUUGCAAUAUAUCUGGUUUUUUUAAUAGAUAAAAUUAAGCGCAUAUUAAAGAGUACAAAUUAAAAACAUAUUAAAGUGUAAUAUUUUUGUGCUCGAACUCUGAUGGGCUUGCUAGCAGCAAGCUUUUUGUUUUGGUUUAUAUGACGCAGGUUUGGCUUAUGAAGCUGGUGCAUCUGUUAUCGCGGUUUAUGAUUCGGUGGCACCUGAGCCGGCUAUGACCGCGGUUCCUGAUUCCUGUGCACCUGAGCCGGCUGUUACAGCUGUUCCUGACUUCGCUGCACCUAACGAACAACCUGUCGCAACAAUCCUAGGUACUAAUGAAUUUAAUAUACCAUUUUGGCAAAAUCUCUUGAUGAGGAUGAAUCAGAAAGUGCUUCUGAACUUACCAAAUAUUACUGGAGCCGGAGGAGUCUUAAGUCCGGCAACAAAUUUGGUGCUUAUAUUAAUAAAUAAAUUUCCAGAUCUUACUGUCAUUCCGAGCAGACGCAGAUUUAGUCCUCUCAAAACUUCUUGCUCCUAGGCCCUCAGCAUUCCAAAGUGGAUGCAUGAUGAUAUGGUGAAAGAGGAUUUUGUAGCAUUGUAAGUGUGCAAUAUUUUAAUAUUGUGUAUAUUGUUGUCCAUUAUUCAUUGUUUUAAUACAUUAAUGCAUUACAAGGUAUACCUGUGGGAUUUCUAAAUGUGAAAGAAGCUGUCAUGCUUGUGCCAUAAAAAAAGAGUCAAGCUCACACAGAAAAUUUCCAAAGAACCAUGACACAUGUUAUCUCUUUCUUCAAAAAUGUAAAAAGUAUGUUGAUCCACUUAUACACCUUACGAAGCGACUGCUGAUCCACUUAUACAUUUUACAGUAGUAUAUAAAACACAUAACCCGAAAAUGAAACGGGUAUUGAAUUGCAGGAUCUAAAAAUAUGGGAGAGAAACACAAACUGUUUCAAAAUUAUCAACAUCGCAAUAUAAUAAUGCAAUCUGAACACAAACAUCUACUGAUUUUGUUGUUUAUGACUUACUGCACAUAGUGUAUUAAGUAUGCUUGCUUUAGGCUGGUAUAGUAGCAUCUCUAGAUGACUUGGUGAAGGAGUUUGUGAUAGCCGACAACGAUGAGAAGAAGAUUCUCUUUUCCCAACUUGAAGAGGAAGUUAAUAUACUUAAGGGUUCUGCUGCAAGGUUUGAAUGAUAUCAUCAGAUAUCCUUUUUUGUUCUGGUUUGAUAAAGUAUUAUAAUUUGAAUUGUUUAUUUUGUUUUGUUUUGUUUCAAACAUGGCAAGCUCUACUUAAAACUUAUGAAUUUAAAUAUGGACAAGGGUAAAGAUUACAUGAAGAACGAGAUUCAACGUCUCGAGGGUAUGCUUCAUAAGUCAAUAAGUGCACCAAAGGCAGAUGAAUUUACAAUCAAGAAGAAUAUCUUAUCUAUCUUUAUUUGAUCUUAUGGUGAUAGAGUAGUCAUUGCUUUUAUCAUGAGUGUAUAGGUGUUAUCACCCAAGUUUUGAUUAUGAUGUGGCCUCUAAAUAUGUACUGUUUUACACACAUUUUUUCAUCA